UUUGGCGGCCGUAGCGCGUGUUCGCGUUGGGGUAGGAACGUAGCUUUCGAAACCACGCGGGACAGUGUCCCAGCUGUCUGUAGCGCGUGGUCUCCUUGCGGCUCACGCCGCCGGGGGUUUUGCCCUUGUUCCGCGUGUCAGGAAGAGGGAAGCGGAGGAGAGGCUCUGGGGACAGAGCUGGAGCUCCCUGACGGGGAAGGGAGCCACCGCGGGGCUUCGCAGCGCCUGCGAGCAGGGCUGCGGCCCGGAACUGGGGAGCAGAGCUGAGACGGGAGGGGCCUCGCAGGCAGGGUCCGAAUCCGCUGGGAUCAGGGCUGGACCCGAGGAGGGCCUCGGGCAGCCGCGCGAUGCUCCGAACUCGUGCCCUGCUGCGAACCCUGCGCUCCUGUUCCUCCGCUCCCUGCGCGAGACGCAAACCUUCAGCCAAACUGAGCGUGCGAGACGCUCUCAGGGCCCAGAACACGAAUGGGGAGCGCGUUAAGGUCCAGGGAUGGGUUCGUUCAAUCCGAUCCCAGAAGGAAGUCUUAUUCUUGCAUGUAAAUGAUGGGUCAUCUUUGGAAAGCCUUCAGAUUGUAGCAGAUUCAAGUUUUGACAGAAGAGAACUGGCUUUUGGGAGUUCUGUAGAAGUUCAAGGGCAGCUGGUAAAAAGUCCAUCCAAAAGGCAGACUGUGGAACUGAAGGCAGAAAAAAUUGAAGUUGUUGGAAAUUGUGAUGCCAAGGCUUUUCCAUUUAAAUAUAAAGAGAGGCAUCCUCUGGAGUAUCUGAGACAGUUUCCUCAUCUCAGGUGUAGGACCAAUGUCCUGGGUUCUAUACUGAGGGUUCGCAGUGAAGCCACAGCUGCUAUUCAUUCUUUCUUUAAGGACAGUGGCUUUGUGCAUAUUCAUACGCCAAUAAUCACAUCCAAUGACUGUGAGGGGGCUGGAGAACUUUUUCAAAUUGAACCUUCAAGCAAAAUAAAAGUACCUGAGGAGAAUUUCUUCAAUGUUCCUGCAUUCUUAACUGUCUCAGGACAACUUCACCUAGAAGUGAUGUCAGGAGCUUUUACUCAAGUGUUUACCUUUGGUCCAACAUUCCGGGCAGAGAAUUCUCAGAGCCGAAGACACCUGGCAGAGUUUUAUAUGGUAGAAGCAGAGAUUUCUUUUAUUGAGAACCUUCAAGAUCUCAUGCAGGUAAUGGAGGGGCUCUUCAAAACUACAACAAUGACAGUCCUCUCAAAUUGUCCUGAAGAUGUUGAACUCUGUUACAAAUUCAUAGCUCCUGGCCAAAAGGACAGAUUAGAACAUAUGCUUAAAAACAACUUUGUAAUCAUCUCUUAUACUGAAGCAGUGGAGAUCUUAAAGCAGGCAUCUGAAAACUUCACCUUCACCCCUGAGUGGGGUGUUGAUCUACACACUGAACAUGAAAAGUACCUGGUGAAGCACUGUGGCAACGUACCAGUCUUUGUCAUUAAUUAUCCCUUAGCACUCAAGCCUUUCUACAUGAGGGAUAAUGAAGAUGGCCCUCUGCAUACAUAUUGCUGAAACAAUAUUAGCCACCAAUUAGUAGUGUCCUAUGAAGCAAGAACUACCAUCUCAUGUCUAAGUCCCAAAACAAGGACUUGCCAAGACACUUACUCUUUCUCCCAUUUUACAGAUGAAAACCUGGGGUGCCAGGAGAUUGCAUUUUCCAAGCCUGCAUAGGUAGUAAGUAAGUGACAGAGUUAGUAUUCAAACCUGAUUCCCUCUGGCUCUGAAGUCUGUGUUCUUCUCCACCCUAUUGCUCUGUGUCAAAAUCACAAAUAUAAAUAACAUUUUAGCCAUUGAUUUCACUGAACCCCACCUUUCACAUAGUAUUAUCCCAAACUGGAACGUAAUUGAUUUAUGAUUCUUAUUUUCUCUUUUCCCUAUCAAACCUCCGUGUAAUUGAUUAUGAGAAAUGAAUUGGCCCACAGGUUGGCAGCAAAAAAUAAGAGAGACCAGGGCAUAGAUUAUCCAGUCAUAAAUAAUUCAUUAGUGAACCUGCAUCACAAAACGACUAUAUCUGUAUCUCUUGGCUUUUUUUAUCACCACACCAUCCCAUCCCACCCCACAAACACACACCAUGCCUUCUUGUAAUUUCUUACUUCUUCUGUGUAAUUUCCCUACACUGAGUACUUUUCAGACAUUCAGUUUUGCACUUAAAUACUCUUUCCUUGUCUGGAAAGACUUUCCUCGGUAGCCCAGCCACCUCAAGCAUUCUUUUUCUGGAUUUCUAUAGCAUUUAAGGAAUUAGUAAAACUGGUAGUGUUGUAUCUUUUUUUGUAGUCUUUGUGUAAAUUUUGCUGUCUCAAACAAAACUCUUCUUCAGAAUAACAAAAGAGUUUUAAUAACCACCAUGGCAUUUCCUGCUCAUCCUCAUUCCUCUUCAUGUGACUCCUAUCCCUCUCAUACCACUGAAGCAGCUCUUUCUAGAGUCAGUAAUAAUUGUCAUAUAAUUAAAUGCAGCAGACUUUUGAAAGUCUUUCACUUCACCUCUCAGCAUCAUUCAGCAGUAUUAAUGAUUUUCCAUUUCUUAAAAUGCCCUCCUCCCUUGGCUUCGGUGGCACUGCAUUGUCCGUUGUCCUCCUUUCUUAGUGGGCUGUUCUUCCUCAGGUUCCUAUGCAGGGUCAUCCUCUUCUACUAGUCCAUCAGAUGCUAGAAUUCCUGAAGCCUCCAUGCCAGGUCUUCUUUUUGUGUCUACCCACAGCUUACUAUUUAUUUUCAGACAGCUCAGGAAUUUCUCUGUCUAAUCCAGACUUCUCCUCUGAGCUCUGACCCAUCUUCUUCCCAUUUAUAUCACAGAAGUAUCUCAAACUUAACACAUCCAGAUUGGAACCCAUGAUUUCUCCUAUGCUCCCCUACUCCCACCAAUUGUGUUCUUUCAAUAUUUUCUGUUCAUCUAAUUAUGUAAGCCUGAUAUCUGACUCACCUUUGAAAUCUUUCCCUCUUUCACUUUCCGUAUUCAAGCUAUUACUAAAGUCUGUCAUUUUUAUACCCCAAAACAUAUCUCAAAUCCAUCCACUCCUCUUCAUUUUCACUUUUACCUUUUUGGGUUAAGACACCAUCAUUUCUUGCCUGUACUACUGAAGGAGCCUCCUAGCUGGUCUUCCUGUAUUCAUCUUCCCUCCCGUGAGGCAGUCCUUCCUAGUGUAGUGUGAGCCUGGAGAGAAUGUAAAUCUGAAUGUGUUAGCUCCCCUCUUAAAACUGUUCAGUGGCCUCUCAUUGCUCUAAAAGUCAAACUCUUUUAUUUGGGGUACAAGGCCCCGUGUAGUCAACUGCUCCCAUCUCUCUUGCCUGAUGUUCUGUGGCACUCCUGUGUGCUCCCGGCCACAUCCACACCACCCUUCUUCCACGUCUUCAGACAUGCAGUGCUUUCUCUCACACAGGAUCGUUGCACAUAGUGUUCCCUCAGUCUAGAACAAUCUCUUCACCUAAGUAAUUUUACUUGUUCACCAUAUCUCUACUCAGUAAUCACUUCUCCAGAGAAACUGUCCUUGACUCUCCAGACUGAGUCAGAGACCCCUGUUAAGACACUAUAGCUGUACCGUGUUAAAUUUCAGACCCAGAACUACCAACUCAGAACCCAUUAUAAUCCUUCACACAGUUGAAUUUUACAUUUAUAUUUAUAACUCUUUAAUUACUGACUCUUUCCUCAAUGCCAAAAGACUUGAGGACCCAUAUUCACUCUUCAGUGUAUCUCUAUCUAGUGCCUAGCAUAAUGCCUGGGGCAUAGCAGGUACCUUACAUCUACUUGGUGAUGGUUAGGUGAUUGGAUGGAUGGAUGAAUACAACACAGUUUUAGACACACAGUGGACAAGUAGUAAGUGAGUAACUUGAUUUUCUAAGGAAAUUUCUGGGAAGCUGAAGAACAGCUUUUACUAUAAAUUUUUUUGAGUGAUGACUAUAUGACAUGGAGGGAAAUCUAGUGGCUUUAGAAUCAGAUACUCUUGGGUUCAAGUCCCAGGUCUUUGUGUUAAAAACUAUGUGAUCUUAAAUAAACCACCUACUUUAUUUGAGUCUUAUUUUCCUAGUCUGUAAAAUAAGAUAAUAUUAUCCAGAGUUGUGAGGAUUAAAUUGGAUAAGAUAUAAGAAAUAUACAUGCACAAAGUUUGGGGUGGUAAGUAGUCAAUAAGUCUGUAGCCCUUUUUCCUUCCAAAUUGUGAUAAAGUCUUUAUUGUGAUAAAGCACAAUAAUGUUAAAAUAUUUGUGUGUGUGUGUGUGUGUGUGUUGCCAUAUCAUAACAUGCUGUUACAUAAGAUUCCUUAAUUUUUUUGGCAGUUCUGUCAUAGGCUGCACUCACAAACAUUUCUUAGCAUUAGAAGUACCAUAAUGAGCAGCCUCUCUAGUAAUGUGCUUCACAGCUUGAAACCUGAAGGCAUUAUAAGGGGACUUCAGUGUGCCUCUAUAAUUUAUGUAAUACUGUAGCAUAUAGCUUCUCAGAGCUAAAUUAUUAAAAUUAAUUUAUUUAAACUAUGUAUAUUAGACAGAUUAUCACACUGAUUCAUUAGCAACCUAGGUUUCUUCUCAGCCCUCUUGUAUAAAGUGCCUGCUUCCACCCCUACUUCAUUUUUUUCAGUGGUGAAUGAACAGAACACAGUUCUGUGUUUCUUUAGUAGGGCUCUAAUAACAGGUUAUAUGUAGUGUUGCAAGAGUUCAUGCAAUGGGUGGAAUACAAUCUAAAAAAAUUUUUUUUAAAGAUGGGUUUCACAGGUACCUUCUCUAGAGAAUCAAAAGAGAAGAGUGGGGAAAUGUUUAACCUACACUUGUGUCAUUUGGCCAGGGAUAAUAAAUAGUAAAAUACUAUAGUUUUACAGUUUUAGUUUCUUUUUCUUUCUUUCUUCCUGCCCCCUCACCUGCCCAACCCCUAAAAAAAAAAAAAUGAAGAUACAUAUAUGUUAUAAUGAAAAAUACAGUGGACUGAGAAGUUAGUAGUGCCGGGUUUGAGAUCCUACUCUCUUACUAGUUAGCUCUAUAACCUUAGGCAAGUCUCUCCAAUCUCUGAGCCUCAGUUUCUCCCUCCAUAAAAAUCAAAGAAUUGAACUAAAUGACCUCCAAGGAACCAGCCAGCUCUAAGAGUCUCUGAUUUCAGGUAACCUAAAUAUUUCCUCAUUUGGGUCUAUAAGAACAACUUGUGAAUUACCAAACAUAUUUGAUAACUUGAAGGGAACAGAUCAUGGGCUUAAAUAAAAUUAAACAAACAUGCAAAAUGCCAUAGAGGCAGGUGGCAGAUACUCAGCUAGGGAAAUGGAUUCACAGAGAAUAUCCAUUCUUUCCAGUCAUGUGUGAUAGGGAAAAGUGACUGCCCAGAAAUCCCUGCAGAGGUGCCAGAAGCACCAGGUAAUGUUCAAUUUUUUAAUUGUGUCAACAUUACUUAGCAAAUCAUAAAAAGUUUAAGCAUUAAUGGACAUUCAGUAAGUAUAUAUUGUGAAGUCAGCUUGGAAGGAAGAUACUCAACAGGUUUGGGGACAUGUAAUGAGUUUCCUUGGGCUGGGGCUAAUUAACCAGUCUGCAUCAUAACAGAUUGAGCCUCAAAUCAACAGAAACAGUGAUGAAGGAAAUUGCCAGUUUUCCCACAUCUAGAACUAAUGGCUAUCCUGGGAAUUUAUGUGAAAGUGGAAAGUAUGCAUUUCAGUCCACCAAAAAUGCUCCCAGACAAGCCAUUUUACUAGCCAAAGUCCUUUUUCAGUCAUUGCUCCCUGUAACCCAUUUGCAUCUGCUCCCCAUCACAUCUGGAAGUUUCCCUUUCCUAGCUGUGCCUCAUUGUUUUUAGGGGCAAACUACUUUAAGUGUCAGCAGUUAGGGCAAAAGCUCAUAGAGGCUGAAACCACAAACUUGUUUCCUAUGGUUUGUGGAACAUUCUUCCUUUGAUAAUAGUGUGUAAUAUUGCUCCAUUGUUGGUAGCAGCCUGUGAGAAACGGAAUAGGGAGGUGUUCAAUUUGUGUUUUUCAUCAAUAUUUAAAAGUACUAAGAUAGGUAGGAAGAGAGGUAGCAGGGGGAGGGACCUUAAACCUUUCCUCCCUCUUUAAAGUUAGCAUAGAAAAGGUAAUAUAUUAAAAUAAAAGCCUUGUUCCUAUGUAGCCUGUGUGUUUUCUAAUUCAAGGUCUGAGUUAGAUUUUCAGUACAUUGAUUGGAAUCAAAGAGUAGUAAGAGUCAAAAGGGAGUGUCAUAGAGACCAGUGCUCAUUCAGCUUGCAUACCAACACAAACUAUUUCUAGACAGCAUGCCAGGGCAGCUCUGUGACGUAAACAAAGCAAAAACUCAUACACAGUGAAGGAAGAUGUUCCCGGCAGCAUUCUGGCCUCGAAGAUGUGCCCAAAGUAGAAACAGUUUUGUUUUAGACCAGGUAAAUGAAGAGUGUAGUGAAGUUCUUUGUAGCCUUCAUUGUUAUCUAUGUAGAGAAGUGAAAGGACAGCAGGGCUAAAGUCCUUCCACUUAUUUCAAAUCUCCCAAAGAUGCAUAGGAACACAGUGGAGAAUUUAGCUACAGAAGUGUUCAAUUUGGUCAACUGAAUUAAGAAGGCAGUUAGUUCACUUGGCAACCAGUGAAUUCUCACUUUCCUUAAUCAAGGGCAGGAUUGCUUAGCCCCCAGCUCUUUAAGCCAGCCUCAAACUCCUGUAAACCACAGGUCUGCCAGUCCAUAAAGGAAAUCGCAAUAACCAGCUAGUGCUCUAAGGCUUGCGGCUUCUUUCCAGCCCGUUUGCACUCUACCCCUUACCACCCAUCACUUGGCAAACACACAACCAAGAUUUUCUCAUUAGUUCUUAAGAUAUUUGUGUGAUUCCCUCCUCAUUUUGCAUUUUGUGUGUUUUUAUGCCACAGUGUGUAUUAUAUCUGUAUGUGCCUUUACCUCCACUAUGGCCUUGAAAAACAGGUAGUUUCUUAGUAAUUAACCUAGUAAUUACCAGGGAAGACACAAGAAAGAAGAAUCCUACCUGGAAUCUCAAUCCUAACUAAAACUGAGGGGAUUGUUCUGGUGAUCUUUAGGGAAUGUGGCUUUUCUUUUUAUCAUAUCAGAAGAAAGUGCAGCUUGGUGUGUACUACAUGGAAAUAUCUUUAUAAUUGAGGGGUUCUUUAUCAUAACUUCUCAGAAAAUGUGCAGAAUGUCUAGAUAGAUUGGAGGACAACACAAUAAAGGAAAAGCAGGGAGUAUAAGCACCUGGUGUGGUUGAAGGAAAACAAAACCUAAAGUAAAAGAGAAGAGAAGGUUAUAUGGAGGAAGAGAAGAGAAUAAGGCCUAUGGGACUCUCUUCACAAAGAGGUGGCUGCUGUUGAUCUGCUGGUUCCUGGAGUUGGAGAGCUCUUUGGUGGAAGUCUUAGAGAGGAACGGUACCAUUUCCUAGAGCAGCAACUAGCCAGGUUAGGACUAACAGAAGCCUACCAAUGGUA